AACGUAGCUUGUGAGUUGGUGGUACAUGUGAUUGGAUCUGUGCCAUGUUAUACGCACAAAGCAAUUUGUUGUGGUGGCAUUGGCCACAUGGAGCUAAUCUGUGUUAGAAUGCUAAAUGUCAUCGAGGGUAAAUGUCAGUGUAAGGAUACGUCUGUAAUUUGGCUGCAAAUAUGACCAGUUUAACAUUUUUCUUGGUUAAUAUUUCAGUUUUAUUUAGCUUUUUAGUUUUGCAAGAGGUUCCGAGCAGGAGUGAGAUGCUGUGAAUUUGAGUGCCUGGAUGAACCAAAUCCCACGGAUGGAUUCUUAGGAGAUUCACCUAUGAAUAGAGCAUUCAUUGUUGCUCCCAGUCCAACCCUU